rnacentral:tRNA from 1 species
GCCCCCAUCGUCUAGAGGCCUAGGACACCGCCCUUUCAAGGCGGCGACAGGGAUUCGAAUUCCCUUGGGGGCA